CCUACGGGUGGCAGCAGUGGGGAAUAUUGCACAAUGGGGGAAACCCUGAUGCAGCGACGCCGCGUGAGUGAAGAAGUAUUUCGGUAUGUAAAGCUCUAUCAGCAGGGAAGAAAAUGACGGUACCUGACUAAGAAGCCCCGGCUAACUACGUGCCAGCAGCCGCGGUAAUACGUAGGGGGCAAGCGUUAUCCGGAUUUACUGGGUGUAAAGGGAGCGUAGACGGCCAGACAAGUCAGAAGUGAAAGCCCAGGGCUCAACCCUGGGACUGCUUUUGAAACUGGCAGACUUGAGUUGGAGAGAAGUACGCGGAAUGCGCGGUGUAGCGGUGAAAUGCAUAGAUAUCGCGCAGAACUCCGAUUGCGAAGGCAGCGUACCGGCGCCAGACUGACGCUGAGGCACGAAAGCGUGGGGAUCGAACAGGAUUAGAUACCCCUGUAGUC
rnacentral:rRNA from 1 species